rnacentral:rRNA from 1 species
UACGUAGGGUGCAAGCGUUUAAUCGGAAUUACUGGGCGUAAAGCGUGCGCAGGCGGUGAUGUAAGACCGAUGUGAAAUCCCCGGGCUUAACCUGGGAACUGCAUUGGUGACUGCAUUGCUAGAGUAUGGCAGAGGGGGGUGGAAUUCCACGUGUAGCAGUGAAAUGCGUAGAGAUGUGGAGGAACACCGAUGGCGAAGGCAGCCCCCUGGGCCAAUACUGACGCUCAUGCACGAAAGCGUGGGGAGCAAACAGG